UACAGAGGUGGCAAGCGUUGUUCGGAAUUACUGGGCGUAAAGAGCGCGCAGGCGGUCGGAUCAGUCGAAUGUGAAAGCCCCCGGCUCAACUGGGGAGGGUCAUUCGAUACUGUCCGACUCGAAGGCAGGAGAGGGAAGCGGAAUUCCCGGUGUAGUGGUGAAAUGCGUAGAUAUCGGGAGGAACACCAGUGGCGAAGGCGGCUUUCUGGCCUGUUCUUGACGCUGAGGCGCGAAAGCUAGGGGAGCGAACGGG
rnacentral:rRNA from 1 species